UUGAACGCUGGCGGCAUGCCUUACACAUGCAAGUCGAACGGUAGAGGGGCAACCCUUGAGAGUGGCGAACGGGAGAGUAAUGCAUCGGAACGUGCCCAGUCGUGGGGGAUAACGCAGCGAAAGCUGUGCUAAUACCGCAUGUGAUCUGUGGAUGAAAGCAGGGGACCGCAAGGCCUUGUGCGAUUGGAGCGGCCGAUGUCAGAUUAGCUAGUUGGUAGGGUAAAAGCCUACCAAGGCGACG
rnacentral:rRNA from 1 species